rnacentral:rRNA from 1 species
CGGAGGAUCCAAGCGUUAUCCGGAUUCAUUGGGUUUAAAGGGUGCGUAGGCGGAAUGAUAAGUCAGUGGUGAAAUCUCGGAGCUUAACUCCGAAACUGCCAUUGAUACUGUCAAUCUUGAGUACAUUUGAUGAGGGCGGAAUGUGUCAUGUAGCGGUGAAAUGCUUAGAUAUGACACAGAACACCGAUUGCGAAGGCAGCUCUCAAAACUGUAACUGACGCUGAGGCACGAAAGCGUGGGUAUCAAACAGGAUUAGAUACCCUGGUAGUCCACGCUGUAAACUAUGAUUACUCGAUGUUUGCGAUAUACUGUAAGUGUCUAAGCGAAAGCGAUAAGUAACCCACCUGGGGAGUACGCUCGCAAGGGUG